UACGAAGGGAGCUAGCGUUGUUCGGAAUCACUGGGCGUAAAGCGCACGUAGGCGGAUUUGCCAGUCAGGGGUGAAAUCCCGGGGCUCAACCUCGGAACUGCCUUUGAUACAGCAAGUCUUGAGUUCGAGAGAGGUGGGUGGAAUUCCUAGUGUAGAGGUGAAAUUCGUAGAUAUUAGGAAGAACACCAGUGGCGAAGGCGGCUCACUGGCCCGAUACUGACGCUGAGGCACGAAAGCGUGGGGAGCAAACAGGG
rnacentral:rRNA from 1 species